rnacentral:rRNA from 1 species
CCUACGGGUGGCAGCAGUGAGGAAUAUUGGUCAAUGGACGAGAGUCUGAACCAGCCAAGUAGCGUGAAGGAUGACUGCCCUAUGGGUUGUAAACUUCUUUUAUAUGGGAAUAAAAUGUUCCACGUGUGGGAUUUUGUAUGUACCAUAUGAAUAAGGAUCGGCUAACUCCGUGCCAGCAGCCGCGGUAAUACGGAGGAUCCGAGCGUUAUCCGGAUUUAUUGGGGUUAAAGGGAGCGUAGGUGGAUGGUUAAGUCUGUUGUGAAAGUUUGCGGCUCAACCGUAAAAUUGCAGUUGAAACUGGCAGUCUUGAGUACAGGAGAGGUGGGCGGAAUUCGUGGUGUAGCGGUGAAAUGCUUAGAUAUCACGAAGAACUCCGAUUGCGAAGGCAGUUCACUGGACUGCAACUGACACUGAGGCUCGAAAGUGUGGGUAUCAAACAGGAUUAGAUACCCGAGUAGUC